ACCCUUUUAACUCAGUGCUAGAGUAACGCCAUGUUAAGGCAUAAGUCAUCGGUUCAAAUCCAAUAAUGGGAU
rnacentral:tRNA from 1 species